rnacentral:lncRNA from 1 species
ACUGACAGCACUACACCAGCCCUGACCGCUGCCUCACCUAAUUGGACUUGAGCGCGAUUUACUUUAAAAACACAAUUUAUUUCUUUGUGUAAAAACACUGUUUCUCGGUAAAACAGAGGAGGAUGAGCUGCAGAUGUGUGAGUUUAAAAGUGAGGGGUGAAAUGCGCUGCCGGAGCUCCGUUUAGCCCCUGUCUGUGUGGGAUCUUUUGUCUGUUCAGUCAGAUCCUCCAGCUCUGAGGAGGAUCCUUCAGCACUGAGCUCCUCAAACCUGCCUCUGAUCAGACUGAGGGACCGGCGGACUGAGCGCAUGAGGUGCUCUCUAACUGGAAGCUUUAGGAGGUUCCUCUGUGAUGUCCGAUGGGCAGCCAUGAGGUGUAGAAAGCUGCUGCUGUGUCUGAUUGAUCUGUGGAACGAUGAGCACUCAGACCUCUCUCUGGACUUUGAGCAAGCUUGGAGAAUGCAGCUAAGAAACAAUGAGGAGAUCAAAGACCCGGAGGGGGAAGCUCUACUGUCCUUUUUUUCAUUCACUCCGGGACUCUCUCUCCUCUACACCUUGUGCACGAUGUUGCGUUCAUCAUUACUCAAGGUCACUGUGCUGAGGCUGUCAGCUGACCUGCUCAUCUUAUUUGGCCUUUUCACCCUUAGGUGGGCAAUCUUGUUCUGUGAGGGGCAGCCUGUGCUUGACUGGGCAGAGUAUGUCUAUACUCUGGUCAUCCUGGGGUCAGCCUGCUGCUAUGCUGUGUCUCAACACCUGCUUCAGAGACUGAGCAGAAAAACUGCAGCCAGCGCUCAAGCAGCCUUAUCUGGUGCCCUCUGCAGGAAGCCCCCAGCACCAGACUGACUGCACUGAAGUGGUCUCCCAGCUGUCGGUGGAUGCUGACCGCGUCACAGAGCUGGUGGGGACCCUUCCUUGGCUCUUCUCCUCUCCCCUGAGGGUGGCUCUCUGUGUGUGGAUCCUAUGGAUUGAGCUGGGCUUUGCUGUGAUGGGGGGUGUGAUACUGCUGCUUUGUCUUGUUUUAGUCCAGUCUUCAAUGGAGCAUCGCAUCAGACUGCUACAGGUCAGCCACAGCAGUGGAUGUGUUCAGUUUAGACAUAUCUCUACUAGUUAUAUUAGUAAUCAAUUCAA